GUUCUGAGACUCUCUGGGCUCCGGUUUCUGUUCUUUUUUCUUUCUUCACUUCUUGGGUGCGGUCCCUGAGGCCCCCCUCUCCCGCCUUUUCCUCAUAGUUUGGUACCAGGGGAGCCAGGUGGUAAAGUUUCCCGUUGUUUGGUUGUUUUGUUUUGUUUUUCUUCCUUAUACCAACUUUUUUAUUUCCAUGAGGCCGCCUAAGGGCACUUGCUGGCUCCCACCAUUAGUCAGCACUCUUGUGGAACAACUGUUCAAGGAAAGCUAGAGGAGAAAGUAACUCCCGUUGUGUACCUAAGAUCCUGUAAAAAGGUCGCAGGUGAAAACCGUUGAGUUUGAGGACACCAAUUUCUACCCUGCUGUUCUCGGCAAGUGCUGCGGCUUGUCGGCUGGUGGGUGUUCACCGAGGAAUGGGAGUUUGUAAAUUCUCCUAUGGGCUUGGGCCUGCCUGCAAUAUCCUGGGCGUCACCACCAUUGUCAUUCAGAUUUACAGUUGCUUUGGAUGUGAGGGCUUAUUUCUUCAGGUCAUUGCGUCUUUAAAAGGUAGCUUGUCAGACUCUUAUGUGGCGACUGACUUGUUGGCUCAGUGGUUAAGACACGGGUUCGAGCCCUGGUCCGGGAAGAUCACAUGCUGCGGAGCAACUAAGCCCGUGUGCCACAGCUACUGAGCCCACGUGCCUAGAGCCUGUGCUGCCUAACAAGAGAAGCCACCGCAAUGAGAAGCCCGCGCACCGCAACAAAAACCCAACGCAGCCAAAAAUAAAAAUAAAUUUAUAUUUAAAAAAAAAAAAAAAAACUCCUAUAUGGACACCCCGAAGCUUUCCCGAAACACUUCAGGGGCUAAGUGGCACUCCAGCCGGGUCCUGUCCACGACUCUUACUGUUUUGUUGUGCCUUCUGUUGAUCACAUGAGCAUUUUAUAUGGAAAUACAGAGACCGCCUCUGUCGGUUCUCCUUCCAGGCAUGUGACCCGGCGGAAGGGGCUCUCGUUGUUUUGCAAAUUUGGAAAUGAAGCACGUGAGGCCUCUCUGUUGGGGACGAAGGGGCGCAGGCAGCAGCCUGGUGGGGUCGGAGGUGCGGCUCCAGGAGCGAAGUGGGAGCGUCCCUCUGGCCCCGCAAGCCCCUCUCCCGCACUGGCCUCGCUCAGUAAGCAUUUAUUGAGCUCCAGGGACUGGGGUCAGAGAUGACCGAGAUGCUGUCCCUGCCCGCUGUCACCCAUUCAACAAACCGUGCCUCUGCGCCGUGCCGGGAGCUCCCAAAACUGGGGAACGGGCGUGUGGGGCUAUGGGGGCACCGGAGGGAACUCGGCUCAGAGGAGAGAAGCUGCUAGAGGUUUUCUGGAGUAAGGAACCUCCAGGAUCACGUUAGGCUUGCUAAGGAAUUUGGACUUUAUUCUGAGGGGGUUGGAGAGCCCCUGAAAGGUUUCUUAAAGGGUGAACUAAGAAAUUUGCAUUUUACAACACGACUUUACAAAUUGAAACGCUAAGGAGAGCAGAUUGGCAACACUUCAAAUUCACAGAUUGGUAAUUUAACCCAGGUGGCCUGUGAUGGGGGUCAAGGCUAUUCUUAAUCACAUUUGGAGGGAAUUUUAAGUGAUAACAGCUCUUUUUGUAGGGCUGUUUGGCAGUCUGUUAAAAUUGUGUAUAUCUCCCUUCUUGCUUGAUAGCCAUGUGUUGUUUUUUUUUACCAAGAGACAUGUACUACGCGUUCAUUACAGCACUGUCAGCUUUGUUAUGAUAUUUAAAAACAAAACCUAAUUGCUCAUCAAUUUGCAAACUGAUUAACCGGUAAUAUGCCCAUAGUAUAGACUACUAUGCAGCAGUUUAAAAGAGAAUGAGGUCGGGCUUCCCUGGUGGCGCAGUGGUUGAGAAUCUGCCUGCCAAUGCAGGGGACACGGGUUCGAGCCCUGGUCUGGGAGGAUCCCACGUGCCGCGGAGCAACUAGGCCCGUGAGCCACGGCUGCUGAGCCUGCGCGUCUGGAGCCUGUGCUCCGCAACAAGAGAGGCCGCGAUAGUGAGAGGCCCGCGCAUCGCGAUGAAGAGUGGCCCCUGCUCGCCGCAACUAGAGAAAGCCCUCACACAGAAACGAAGACCCAACGCAGCCAAAUAAAUAAAUAAAUAAAUAAUAAUUAAAGGUGCUAAUAAUUAAAAAAAAAAAAAGAGAGAAUGAGGUCGAACUAUACUGAUAUGAGCCUGUCUCCAGUUGUUAAUUGGAUUGUUAACUGACAAAAAUCAAGUUCAACAAAACAUACAGUGAAUUCCCAUUUAUGUUAAAAACGAAAAACCAAAACGCCUGAUUUCUGUAUGUUAAAAUAGGUAUGUAAGUGCACCUGGUAAGAAUUCUAAAUUUAAAACAAGCCAUUCCCCCUAGGGAUUCCCCUAGGGUGGGAGCAACAAGGAUAAUAUAUUAUUGGAAAGUUUUACAGUGAGACUGUGUUCAUGUACUGUGUUGUCUCUGUGUUGCUAUAGUUAUCCAUGCACAAUCCUGUAUCGUUUUGCUGUCUAAUAGUGGGUAGGAAGAAAGGAAGAGGAAAUGGAUUACCAGAGUGAGAAUGUGGACAAGACCCUUCAGGUAGCUGUGACUGUCUUCCACAGGAGAGAACAAGUUGGCAUCUUCCUGUGGUCAUUUACCUCAGGAUACAGAUGCUGGAUACUUAGUAAAUGUUCAGAACUAAGGCCCCCGCCCAGGUGGAGGAUGAUAACUUCAGGCUGAGCACAAGAUUCCUGGAACCGGGACUUCCCUCGUGGUCCAGUGGUAAAGAAUCCACCUUCCAGUGCAGGGGACGCGGUUCGAUCCCCGGUCGGGGAAUUGAGAUCCCAUAUGCUGCGGGGCAACUAAGCCCGAGAGCCACAACUAUUGAGCUUGUACGCCUCAGUGAGAGAGCCCACAUGCCGCAAACUACAGAGCCCAUGCGCCCUGGAGCCCGCGCACCACAACUAGAGAGAGAAGAAACCCGCAUGCCACAACUAGAGAAACCUGCACGCCACAACGAAGAGCCCAGGCACGCCCAGGCACCGUAAGGAUGCAUGCCUCAACUAAGUAAGAACAAACCCUCCCGUUACCUCACUACCAAGCCAAUCAGAAGAAAGUCACACACUCUACAGCCCUCAAACCAAAUUUUGCCUGUAAAAAUUUCUCCCUGAAAACCGUCAGAGUUCGGUGGUUUUUGAGCCUGAGUCACCCAUUCUCCUUGCAUGGCCCUGCAAUAAACCUUUCUCUGCUCCAAA